rnacentral:rRNA from 1 species
GACGAACGCUGGCGGCGCGCCUAACACAUGCAAGUCGAACGGAGUUAUUUGAAAGCUUGCUUUUGGAUAACUGAGUGGCGGACGGGUGAGUAACGCGUGAGUAACCUGCCUUAAAGAGGGGGAUAACGUCUGGAAACGGACGCUAAUACCGCAUGACAUAUUGUUUUCGCAUGGAGACGAUAUCAAAGGAGCAAUCCGCUUUAAGAUGGACUCGCGUCCAAUUAGCUAGUUGGUGAGGUAACGGCCCACCAAGGCGAUGAUCAGUAGCCGGUCUGAGAGGAUGAACGGCCACAUCGGGACUGAGACACGGCCCAG